rnacentral:lncRNA from 1 species
CCAGGCCCACAGACGAUACUCCACCCCCAGCCCCACUCUGCUUCCUCUUGUCUCUCAUGCUGCUGAGUCCCCACCCCACCCCAGUCACCAUCCCUUGCCCUGGGACUCCAUUCUUUGUUAAGAUCUCCUCCCUUUCUGGGCCUCAGUUGCCUCAUCUGUAAAAUGGGAAUAACAAUGCCUUUCUAUGCCCAUCAUCCUGGAGCUGGAGAAGCAAUGCCAGGACUCAGAGGGUAGACCUCAGUCUCCUCAAGUCUCAGAAUUCUUCAUUGGACCAUGGGGGUCAUCUUAACUCCAGAGGAGUUGUCAGUAGUUGUGGCCGAUUUUGUGGGUGAUGUUAAAGGAAACAAGACUCCCAGGCAUCCCAAUAUAUAUACACACCCAGCCAUCUCCCAAGGAAGCUGGUAUAUCAAGUAGUCAAGAGGUAGAAUCCUCCAAGCCCAGGUGCAGGAGAAGGUUGAGUCCUAAAUAUGAGGGGUGCUCUGUCCCAAGCAUACAGCUGAGGAGGUCUGAGCCAGGCCCUAGUCCUCUAGCCCAGGCUCUGGCAAUACAGGUGGCUUCCAGCUCUUAGAGACCUUACCCCCUACUCCCAGCAACAUGGGGCCUGACUGAACAGUUGUCCAAGUUUCCCUGACUGGAAAGCAAAAGAGGUUACUCCCUACUCCACAUCCCUGCCCACUUCUCCCGAUCAGCCUUCCACAGGGGGCCCCCUCUCCUCCCCUCUCUUUACUUCCCUCUCCUGCUCCAUAGCACUCUGGAAAACUUUCUUUGAUUAACCUCUCCCAGCCAAGAGCAUUCAAAGAGGCUGUAUAGUGCAGUGGUUGAAAGCACCAGCUUUGGGGCCAGAAAAGCCCCAAAUCACAGCUCUGCCCUUUGGCUGGGUGAUCUUGGGCUCUUCAUUUAAUGUCUCUGAGCCUUAUUUCCUCAUCCUCAUCUGGCAAAUGAAGCCAUAAAUGCCUGGGUCUAGGAUUGUGUGACGAUCACAUGAAGUCAUGAAUGCAAAGUGACUGGCAUAGAGGAGAUGCUCAGCAAAUGCCAGCUGCCAUCUCCCCCCAACCCCAUGCUACAUCUAACUGUGUCUCAGUUUUCUGCUGCACUUAGAGGAUAAGGAUGAGAGCUGAGGGUGGGGAGAGAAGGAAGAGCAGCAGCAGUAGCAGCUUCAGGAGGCUCCUGAUCACUUAGAAGAGAUGAAGGCUGAGCUACAGUAGGAGAGACUCAGGUUAACCCUGAGAGGGACUUCCCAUACUGAGACCCUGGAGGAAGCCACAUUUCAAAGGCCCCGCGAAACAUUCAAGGACCUUCUUCCAAGGGCACAAUACUGAGCAACAUGGACAAGGUCUGGCCCUAUGGUAAAGUCAGGUCUGGAUCAUGGAAUUGAAUGGGGUGUGUUGCCAGGCACCCGCAUGAGGGGCUGGCUCCUCCCCGUGAAUUCUGGGCACAGACACCCAGACCUGAGCAGGCCCCUCACCCCACAGCGACUGGGGAGCCGGAGCCCGAGUCCCUCCCACCUGCUCCCUCGGUUUCUGAGGGUCUGUCUCAUCCUGCAGCUGGACAGACGUGAUCUUCAGCCCCAAGUUACAGACGCUUAGAGAAGCUGGAGACUUGCACAAUGUCUCAGAGGAAAGAGAGCCAGAACCUGGACCCGUGUUGUACCCCAACCAAACCCUCCAUGGUGGAAGGAAUAGGAGUGGGAAGGGGAGGAGGAGACAUAUGGUCCAGGAGGUUCCAUAUGUACCCACACAUGGACCUCAAAGAGGCCCCCACAGCAAGACAGCAAAUGACAUCCACAGUCACAGAUCACGGAGUGAUUUCAGAUGAAGAUGGUGCUGGCAGUUUCCCCAUCAGCGCAAUGGAGUUUGAGCAAAGGAUCUCACUGGAGAAGUCGCAGCGACAGUGGAUCUAAGAGCAGAGGGCAAGGGCUGCCUGAGCCUUGUGAAGCUCAAUUCUGCCCCCUGGUGCCCAGAAUGCCGCGCCAGCAAUGGGAUGCAGGAAGAAGAGGCAGGAGACACCUGAGGUCUCUUACCUUUUCCAAGCUACUCAGACCUCCCUCUUACAGGGCAGGGAACACAGGGCACCAGCCCUACUAACCCAAUCUGAGGGGAAACUCUGAGGCUCCCUCUCCUGCAGAGAUCUCAGACUCUGUGGUAGAGUUGGUGUGGGGGGACACGUGACGUCAGCAAUAGCCCUGUCCAUCCAGCACCUGGACACCCCGAGUGGUUCCUUCUAUGGGAGGCAGAGGCAGGGCUGCCCCCUCUGCUGUGCAAUUCCUGGGGUCUUCAUCUGAGUUAAAUUCUUUUAAGUCAGGAUUUUUCUGGCUGAAAUUUCACAUUUGUGUUCAGUGGGAGUACUCAAAAAAUGUAGCAUGCAUGGAUGAAUUCCAUCCCUUUGCAUUGUCUUCAGAAGAUCUGUCCUAUGAAGCACAGGGAAAAGUGAGUUCGUUAAUUUGCAUAGUUGGCGGAAGUAGGGCUACAAAGAGGAAUGGGAUGGGGGAAGGGAGAGAUUUGAUGGG